rnacentral:tRNA from 1 species
UCCCUGGUGGCUCAGACGGUAAAGCGUCUGCCUGCAAUGCGGGAGACCGAGGUUCGAUUCCUGGGUCGGGAA